GAAUCAGUACGCUGGUCGUGCCUUCGGUAUGUACUGGUGUCACUGGUUUCUCCCUUCUGAAGAACCAUCAUGCCAUUCACUUGGUGUGGUGGGAAAUCAGGACUGUUACUUUGAAAAAAUUAGAGUGUUUAAAGCAGGCGGUCUCCGCCACUGAAUACAUUAGCAUGGGAUAAUGGAAUA
rnacentral:rRNA from 1 species